CCUGAGAGCGGCGAUGGUACGCACGAGCUCGCCUGCUCCUGGUACGUGUGCCAAUCGAACAUCGACGCGUUCGAGACCAUAUUAAAUGUGAUCGUAUAUGUACCCAUCGUAUACGGCCAGGACAACGGCGGCGGGCGGUGACGGAGCCAUGCGAAAUAACGACUGGAGUGGUCCUAUCCCGUCGGUACAUAAUUCUCGGGUCGGUACAUCGUGCUGGACGUCGAACCCGGGACGUCAUGGAAACGGCGCUUCCGAAGGGGAUAAGUGUAGGGUUUCCCUGUGGGUCGACAGGGGAGGAAAAAUAAAUCUGUCCAUUCGAGCGCCGCACGAGGCUAGAAGCUUACAGCUAUGGCGAUGGCGGACGCUGCAGGCGACGGAUUCGAGUUCCUAUCAGAUCCAAUUGACAGAUUCCCAUUGCCGGAUCUCGCCGCCGCCGAAUUCUUUCUGCGCGGCGAAGCAAAUCAAUCUCUUGGGUGCGCCGUCGCUCAAUCUAGCAAUGGUGCUGUUUGGGAUGGCGCAGUGAUAGCACAAGAAGAAUUUGAGAGCGGCUCCAAAAGGAUCGCAAACAUCGAAUUCAGAGCGUUGGACAGCAAGGGCGAUGGACAAGCGGCUGACUCAGCCAACAGGUUUCGCUUGCCGGACCUCACCACCAGUAAAUCAUUGCUGGAUGGCGAAGCAAUGCAAACUUUGGUAUGCGCAGACGCUGAAUCCAGCAUUGGUGAUGUGGGUGAUGGUGAGGCAACAAUACAAGGAGAUGUCAAUAGCACCUGCAGUGGGAUGGCCCUGUCCAUGCCAACCUCAGAACAAUCGACAGGCAAAGACAAUCCUCAAGCACCUAGCUGGAUCAAGAGGAUCAGUGCCCUCGAAAAAACAUUGCAAAGAUAUGCAGAGAAGAAGACUGACACAGUCGUGGUUCCAGCAACAGGUAUCAACUUUGAUUCACUUGGAGAAGCGUAUGAUUGCUACAAUCUCUAUUCCUAGGAGAUUGGAUUUGGAAUAAGGUAUGGCAAGAGCCGGCUUAAUGUCGAAAGAACAAAAUGCAUGCAGGAGAUAGUCUAUGGCUGCACUGGAAUCCCGAAAAGCAGGACAUGCCGAUGCAGAUGCCCUGCAAUGAUACGUUUGCUUCAAUCAGAUGACAGUGGGUGGUACAUAAGUGAGUACAGACCAGAACACAAUCAUGCACACAGAAAAAUGUGGCAAAACGAUGUACUGGCCCUCACACAGACAUAUUGAUGUAUACACAAGGGAUGUUGUUAAACAACUCCGUGAGAAAAAUAUUAGCAUUGGCAAGGUCUACAAUAUAAUUGGUAGUUUCUUCGGUUCAAUGACAAAUGUACCUAUCAGCAAAAGGGCACUGAGAGGACUCUGUAGUAAGAUCAGUCGAGAGCAAGCAGACGAAGAUUUAAAGAAAACCAUGGAUGUUUUUGCCGAAUUGGGAGCAAAAGACUCUGGUCUCUGCUACCGAGUGCAGCCUGAUGAGGAGAGCCGUAUAUGGAAUUUGAUAUGGUUAACUGAAGCAAGGAGGGCACAGUACGAUUAUUUUGGAGAUGCAAUAACAUUUGACCCAACAUACCGCACAAACCUAUAUGAUAUGCCAUUUGGGCUGUUUGUAGGCGUCAAUAAUCACUUCCAGAGUGUGAUCUUUGGCGGCGUGCUAGUCGGAGAUGAAACAGUUGACACUUUCAAGUGGGUAUUCAGUGAAUUCAUUCGCAUGAUGGGGGGAAAACCUCUGCAAACAAUACUCACAGGUGAAUGACCUAUUACUGGAGUUUCUUUUCAUUGCAUAAUGCAAGAAAAACAACAAACAAAAUCGGUGAUAACCAAGGAUGACAUAUUUUUGCUGCUGUAGUAGUCUUGGAAUCCUCUUUUUUUGUCAUAUAACUCUGCCAAAUGCUACUGACAUAAAGAUGUGUCCUUGUGAAUGUGUGGAGAUCAAUGCAGAGCGAUGGAGUUAGCAAUUGAGAAAGUGCUGCCAGACACCACUCACCACUGGUGCAAAUGGCACGUCCUGAAAAAGGCAAAAGAAUAUCUUGGUCCACAUUACACAAAGCACAUCAAAUUCAGGGCAGAAUUCCACAAAAUAAUCCAUCACAUGCUUACGGUUGAUGAGUUCGAGACUGCAUGGAAGCAAGUGACAGAGGCGCACGGUUUGCAAAAACAUGCUUACCUCAUUGGCAUCUAUGAAACUAGAAUGAAAUGGGCAAAACCAUAUUUCAAUGGAAAGUUCUGUGCAAAGAUGACAAGCACACAACGCAGCGAGAGUGCCAAUCAUAUGCUCAAAUGCUAUGUUCCAGCAAGCUGCCCCAUGCAUCUAUUUGUUCGACAAUGCAUGAGACUUCUUUUCGAUAGAGGGGCAAACGAGAACUAUGAGGAGAGACGCACAAAGAUAGUAAGUUGCUGACUCUAUCCUCACUAAUGCAUUGUCUAUAUCUGCAGGUAGCCCCAGUAUUGAAAAUGAAUACACCACUGGAGAUGCACGCUAGCGACAUCUACACCCGAACCAUGGCUGAAAAAUUUGGCGAAGUUAUAUAUGAAGCGGGGCAGUACAAAGUUGAGGAAAUCACUAAAGGGAAAACCUAUUUCGCGAAACGAUACCAUCCAGAGAAACAUGCCAAAUGGUGCAGGGUUUUGUACAAAGUGGAAGUUGUUGACGAAGGAACUGAGCUGAUAUGCGAAUGUGGCAAUUUUGAACACACAUGCUUGCUCUGUUGUCACGCUGUUAAGGUCCUUCGAUUUCCUUGGCAUAGACCAUAUACCAGCAAAGCAUAUGCUGAAGCAGUGGACGAAGGACGCAAGAGAUUUGCUGCCAGCCCACCUGUCGCAUCUUCAGAAGGAUAGCAUUUCUGUGAAUUCAAUAACAUACAGGCACUGAAAUCUGUACACACAUGCACUUGAGGUAGUCAGGCUGGGAGAUGCAAAUCCAGAAGCAUGAGUGUGCAAUGGACAUCCUGAAGGGAGCAGUGGAUAAGCUGACACCACUAGCUGCUGUGCAGGAUGGAAUGGGGCCGGAAGACAAAAAUGAUCAACAUAAGAGAAAAGACAAAGAACCCAUUGCAGCAAUUGCACCCUUGAGCGGACGCUGAAGGGAGUGCAGUGGGGAACUUCGAAGGACUAAGUCCUCCAAAACGAAAACGAAAAGCCGGUCGACCAACCACAAGCAGGGACAAGACUCCAUAUGAUGUUCGGGGUGCAAGAAAUACAAGCGGCCAGCAAAUGCACAAGAUGCAGAGAGAUGUGCUACCAGCAAGCGCACUCGCUUCUGUAGUAUAUGCCGGGAGCCAGGGCACAAGAGCAGCACAUGCCCACUGCAAGGAGAUCUUCGUCGAAAGGAAAGGAAAGAGGCAAAAUGCUCAAACUGUGGUGUCGGUGGACACAGGUGAAACACAUGCAACAAGCCGAAAGUUGUUGUGCACGUGAUCGAGAAAAUAGCUUUGGAAACGAAUUUACCUUAGUUUGUGUUUCUGCAAACUCUGUUCUUGAGGGCUCUGCAGCCAAUACUUAGGAAUCUGUGUAAUAAAAACCAUCUACCGUGCUAUGUGUUGUACUUGGCACUAUUGUCGUUUUAAGGACUGAAUCAUUUUCAC
rnacentral:rRNA from 1 species